AAAACUACGGUCUCAGUUCAGAUUGCAGGCUGCAACUCGCCUGCAUGAAGUUGGAAUUGCUAGUAAUCGCGAAUCAGAAUGUCGCGGUGAAUACGUUCCCGGGCCUUGUACACACCGCCCGUCACACCAUGAGAGUCGAUAACACCCAAAGUUGGUAGUCUAACCGCAAGGAGGACGCCGCCUAAGGUGGGAUUGAUGACUGGGGUGAAGUCGUAACAAGGUACC
rnacentral:rRNA from 1 species